AGCUUUUCGAAUCCGUGGUGAGAUUUCGUGUAACACCAACCCAUUAGGGCUGAUCAGACUUCCAAGAUAAGUGAAGUU
rfam:Schistosoma haematobium scaffold328_23, whole genome shotgun sequence.